CAUGUCUUUUUGUAAAUGAUUUAAAGUUUAACCUGCUCAAUGAAAUUUAAAUAGCCGCAGUAUUUCGACUGUGCAAAGGUAGCAUAAUAAUUAGUUUCUUGAUUAGGAACUGGAAUGAAUGGUUUGACAAGAAAACUUCUGUCUUUUUUUUAAUUAUUUUUGAAUUUUAUUUUUAAGUGAAAAAGCUUAAAUUUAUAUAAAAGACGAGAAGACCCUAUAGAAUUUAAUAUUUUUAUUAUUUAAUAUUAGUAUAUAAUUAUAAUAUAAAUUAUUUGAUUGGGGUGAUUGGGAGAAAUAUUUAAUUCUCUUAUGUUAUAAUUAAUAAUUUUUAAUUUUUUAAUCUUUUUUUAAAAAGAAUAAAAUAAAUUACCUUAGGGAUAACAGCGUAAUUUUUCUUCAAAGUUCUUAUUUAAAGAAAAGUUUGCGACCUCGAUGUUGGAUUAAAAUUAAUUUUUGGUGCAGUUACUUAAAAAUUAGGUCUGUUCGACCUUUAAAAUUUUACAUGAUCUGAGUUUAAACCGGUGUGAGCCAGGUUGGAUUCUAUCUUUAGAAAAGUUUUUAUAUUUUAGUACGAAAGGACCAAAUAUAAGUUAAAUUAAUUGU
rnacentral:rRNA from 1 species